rnacentral:rRNA from 1 species
UACGUAGGGUGCGAGCGUUAAUCGGAAUUACUGGGCGUAAAGCGUGCGCAGGCGGCGCGUUAAGACAGGUGUGAAAGCCCCGAGCUUAACUUGGGAAUUGCGCUUGUGACUGGCGUGCUGGAGUGUGGCAGAGGGAGGUGGAAUUCCACGUGUAGCAGUGAAAUGCGCAGAUAUCAGGAGGAACACCGAUUGCGAAGGCAGCUCGCUGGGACGUAACUGACGCUGAGACGCGAAAGCGUGGGGAGCGAACAGG